rnacentral:rRNA from 1 species
AGUGAACGUUGGCGGCGUGGAUUAAGCAUGCGAGUCGAGCGAGAACCGUAGCAAUACGGGGACAGCGGCGAAAGGGACAGUAAUAUGUAGGUACCUACCCUCGGGUCCGGGAUAGCUGCGGGAAACUGCAGGUAAUACCGGAUGACAUCUCCGGAUCAAAGGUGUGAUUCCGCCCGGGGAGGGGCCUGCAUCCUAUUAGCUAGUUGGCGGGGUAACAGCCCACCAAGGCGACGAUGGGUAGCGGGUGUGAGAACACGACCCGCGUCAUUGGGACUGAGACACUGCCCAGACACCUACGGGUGGCUGCAGUCGAGAAUCUUCGGCAAUGGGGGAAACCCUGACCGAGCGACGCCGCGUGCGGGAUGAGGGCCUUCGGGUUGUAAACCGCUGUCGUAGAGGAGGAAAUGCAGUGGGGUUCUCCCCUCUGUUUGACCUAGUCUAGGAGGAAGGACGGGCUAAGUUCGUGCCAGCCGCCGCUGUAA